GGGUCAGUAGGUUGGUCGUGCCACCGGUACGUACUGGUCUCACUGGUUCCUCCUUCCUGAAGAACCGUAAUGCCAUUAAUUUGGUGUUGCGGGGAAACAGGACUGUUACUUUGAAAAAAUUAGAGUGUUUAAAGCAAGCUAACGCUUGAAUACAUUAGCAUGGAAUAAUGAAAUAGGACGAUCGAUCCUAUAUUGUUGGUUUCUAGGAUUGACGUA
rnacentral:rRNA from 1 species